rnacentral:tRNA from 1 species
GCCGGUGUGAUGGAAUUGGUAGACGUGCCGGACUCAAAAUCCGGUGGGAGUCAAAUCCCGUGUCGGUUCGACCCCGACCACCGGCA